rnacentral:rRNA from 1 species
AUUGAACGCUGGCGGCAUGCCUUACACAUGCAAGUCGAACGGCAGCACGGGUGCUUGCACCUGGUGGCGAGUGGCGAACGGGUGAGUAAUACAUCGGAACAUGUCCUGUAGUGGGGGAUAGCCCGGCGAAAGCCGGAUUAAUACCGCAUACGAUCUACGGAUGACAGCGGGGGACCUUCGGGCCUCGCGCUAUAGGGUUGGCCGAUGGCUGAUUAGCUAGUUGGUGGGGUAAAGGCCUACCAAGGCGACGAUCAGUAGAUGGUCUGAGAGGACGACCAGCCACACUGGGACUGAGACACGGCCCAGACUCCUACGGGAGGCAGCAGUGGGGAAUUUUGGACAAUGGGCGAAAGCCUGAUCCAGCAAUGCCGCGUGUGUGAAGAAGGCCUUCGGGUUGUAAAGCACUUUUGUCCGGAAAGAAAUCCUUGGCUCUAAUACAGUCGGGGGAUGACGGUACCGGAAGAAUAAGCACCGGCUAACUACGUG